rnacentral:rRNA from 1 species
GUGCCAGCCGCCGCGGUAAUACGGAGGAUGCAAGCGUUAUCCGGAUUUAUUGGGUUUAAAGGGUGCGUAGGCGGAUGAUUAAGCGUGAGGUGAAAUGCGCGGGCUCAACCUGUGACCUGCCUCGCGAACUGGUCGUCUGGAAUGCUCCUGCCGUGGGAGGAAUGUGUGGUGUAGCGGUGAAAUGCAUAGAGAUCACACAGAACACCGAUUGCGAAGGCAUCUCACGAAGGAGUGAUUGACGCUGAGGCACGAAAGCGUGGGGAUCAAACAGGAUUAGAUACCCUGGUAGUCCACGCAGUAAACGAUGAUAACUAACCGCUGGUUAUUCGUAAUCAGUGGCCAAGCGAAAGCGAUAAGUUAUCCACCUGGGGAGUACGACCGCAAGGUUGAAACUCAAAGGAAUUGACGGGGGCCCGCACAAGCGGAGGAACAUGUGGUUUAAUUCGAUGAUACGCGAGGAACCUUACCCGGGCUCGAACGGCAGAGGAACAAUCCAGAGAUGGUGCGGCCCUUCGGGGCUUCUGUCGAGGUGCUGCAUGGUUGUCGUCAGCUCGUGCCGUGAGGUGUCGGCUCAAGUGCCAUAACGAGCGCAACCCUUGUCGUCAGUUACCAGCAUGUAAAGAUGGGGACUCUGGCGAGACUGCCACCGCAAGGUGAGAGGAAGGGGGGGAUGACGUCAAAUCAGCACGGCCCUUACGUCCGGGGCGACACACGUGUUACAAUGGCGGCCACAGAGGGGCACUACCUGGUGACAGGAUGGGAAUCUCGAAAAGCCGUCUCAGUCCGGAUCGGAGUCUGCAACCCGACUCCGUGAAGCUGGAUUCGCUAGUAAUCGCGCAUCAGCCAUGGCGCGGUGAAUACGUUCCCGGGCCUUGUACACACCGCCCGU